rnacentral:lncRNA from 1 species
CCAUCAACCUAACCCACGAAUGAUCCAUUUUAAAGAGAUUUGGGUUUAACAUAAAUGGAUUGGGUCAUAAAUGGGUCAACCUAUCUAGACCUAUUUAUUAGAUGGGUUGAGUUCAAGUUUAGACCUUUAAACUGUUUAACCCAUUUUGACUCUUUAAUGAUUAGGUUGGGUCCUAACUCGAACCAUUUAACCUGUUUAACUCGUUUAACCCACAUUGACCCGUUUAACCUGACGUGACUUGUUUAAUAAAUGAGUUAUGUAGAUCGGGUCAGGUUGCCUAUUUAAUAAAUCGGUUGGGUUUAGAUUUGAAUUUUUGACCGGUUUAAUAAAUAGGUCAGAUUUGGGUUAACAAAUUUUUGACCCGAUCCGCAUUUGACCGGAUCUGUAUCCGAGCUAACCCAAUCCAAUACCCCUAUAGAGUGGUGAACUUUUAUGUUCCUAAGGGUACCCUUUCCGAUUAUUGACUUGAAUGGAGGUGCAAAAGUAGUUUUUUUUUUUUUACCUUUCAUUUCAUAAAUUGAAAAAAGUAGCAUCAGGUGUUUUGGCUUGAUGAUUUGGAUUUUGAACUAAUUUGAGCAUCAAUAUGAAUGAUGUUCUAAAAUUUGUUAAGUAACGUCGGACAUUAGAAAGCAAAUAUGCAUUUAUCAUUUGUUUAUCUGUUAGUCUGUCAGCAACAUUUUCUUUUACUGUUGGGUCUUGUUGGUAUACCAUGAAGAUUUGUCAGAACCUUGUUUAACUCAUUGAUGCAACUAUUACUUUUUAAAUUUGUGAUGCCUUCUUGUCAAUUGCUUGCUCAAAAUUUGGGAACGUGUAUCUAUAUUGACAUUGAAGUUGGGAAGUUUUAACUCAUGCAGCUUUAAACUUCUUGACUGCAAAAGGCUAUACAUACACAUGUGCAUGGAGUGUAGACAUGUGUCCACGCACAUGUGCAUGCUUACAUAUACAUAGACAUAAACCACAUAUAUGAUGUGUACAUCAGUAUAUUCUUUUAUUUAAUUCAUUAAAUAGGAAAAAGGUAUCAAUAUCAUCAGCAUGACAUUAGAGUCUAGUGGUGGGCUUGAGAGUUUAGAGAUACAGAUAGUAAAACGACUUCUGAAGAUAUAAUUUCAGGAGGCCGUAAAGAAGGUAAUGUGAAUGGAGUCUUAUUCUUGUAAACAGAAGGGAAGUUCUUUUCAUUUUUGACCACCUUUACAAAACUUUGGUGCUUUGCAUCCUUGAUUCUGCAGACUUGCAAUCCUAAUGUUUGAGCUAAAGAGCUCAUGCAUUUCCACAUAAUACAUCCCUGACAGCAAAAUGAUCCUUAUUAUUGCAACAGCAGGUCAAUUCUUUUUCACUUUUGACCACCUUUAUAAAAGUUUGGUGCUUUACAUCCUUGAUGCUGCAGACUUGCAAUCUUUGAGCUAGAGGGUUCAUUCAGUUCUACAUAAUACAUCACUGACAGUAAAGUGAUCCUUAUUCUUGUACCAGCAGGGCAAUUCUUUUUCAUUUUUGACCACAUCAUUGCUGCACCAAACUAGCAGUCCUAAUUCUGAUCUUUAGAGCUUAUGGACAUAAUACAUCCUUGAUGGUCAGUUGAAUCAAACUACUUGCUGUUCAUUUGUCUAUGGAAUUUUUAAUCUUAAAUGUAGUGCAAACUUCAACUGAACACAUGAGAUGGAUGAUUUCUACAAAACCACUAUAUGCAAAUCAGCUUAAACGCUUCCUCAAGUUGCCUGGUUGAUGGUAGGAUGAAAUACGACUUGUCAAUUUUUUUUCAUCUUUUUUAUGUAAGAAUUCCUUAAUGAUUAUGGGCUGUCUGGUGCAAUCUGAUUCUAUGUCAUGUUUGCACUUGUUUUCCAAGGCUGUAGAAUCUGAUUUCAGAUCUAAAGAGGAGAUAAAGGUCACUAUAGGCAGUACCAUGAAAGGUUAAACCUAUGGCUUACAAAGAUAAUCCCCAUUUGAAAGGAGAAUGAAAUGACUAAGGAACAAAAAUCGAUUACGCUUAAUGCAACUCAAUGUUUAUGUGGUUACGGUGUUCAAAUGUGUAUUACGAUACUAAUUGCCAAGGAUUUGCUCUCAUUUCUCAAUUUUUUGUAGUAAUUCAGUAUAGCAUUCUUUAGGACCGUCAUUUAAAAUUUAGUAAAAAGACAAAAAUUGUUUUAAGCAUCAUUAACACGAACCAUACUUUAGUGUAUGUUUGUCACUAAAACCCCAUUCUUUUAAUGAUUAUCAUCUCUGAAGUAGCUAAGCUGACAAAAGCAAGACGCUUUGGGACCUAGAGUUAGCUUUGAAACAUGUGCUUGUAUGCAUAAAUAUGAUAUAGAUUUAGAAGGGCUGGAAGUUCCUUUUUCUUGUUCAUUGAUAAUUGUAAUAAUCCACACAAAGAGAACUUGGAAUGUUAUGUUCAACUUGGAUCACGCAACUGGCUAACGUGCAUUGAAGGGCUGUGCAUCAUCGGCAGUGAGCAUAGAUUUAGUUUAAUCUUUUAGCUUCCUCAAUCUUAUCUUUUAGUUCUGUUUAAUUUUUAGUUCUAGUUUUUUUAAUGAGUAUGGCUGAGACUAGAAUAUCCUGCAGUUGUUUGGAACGUUAUAUGGGCAUAACUUAAUAAGCCACAUCAAGUGUUAGUUUAUGGAAGUGAAAAACAGGUGAGGUUUUAGGUUUUUGCUCGAAGGUGUCAUGUUCUGGGUUUUCUCAGUUUUGGGGGUGAUUGGAAAUAAAGUGUUUCUUUUCCAAUGGCCAUCCAAUCCGUUACUUCUAUCUCUUCUCUUCUCUUCUCUUCUCUUCUCAGUCCUUCCUCUUCUUCUUUCCAUGUCCUCCUUACUUUCCCUUCAUCCAGUUUCCUUGCUGAUAAUUUGAUUUCUGACGUCUUUUAUUUUUAUUUUUUUGCAAAUAUGAAUACUAUUACUUCUAUAUCUUUGCAUACAUGUUGAUGGAGUUCUAAGAACAUGUUAUGAUGCGUUUGGUGGAUGCAGGACUUAGGGAUUUUUAUUAGAUUUAAUUUUUGUUGUCAAUUUAUUAUAUUUUACUUUUACUUUUUAGUUGUUUUCAGUUUUUUGAUAGGUUAUUCGAGGAUGGGUAUUAAAAGGUUUCAGAUUUUAUUUAGCUUGAUGGGUCUAGCUACUGUAAUGAUAUUAUUCACAUGAUGUUGCUUAUGCUAUAGUAACUUUGAGCAGUAAUCAUGCUACAGUAAUUGCGAAUGUUGCCGUUUACUGUUCCAACUUUUUUGGUGUUUUGAUUUUAUUACUUGGUCCACAUUUUCCUGCCGUAACAUCUCUUGUUUGCAUUUAUUCUAUUGCUGGUCAGUCAGUGAUUGUUAUGCAAUGCUGAUUGUGUUGCGAUGUCUUUUUGUGCAGAAGCAGAACGUGAAGAUAUAUAGUAUGAUAGUUGAUAAANN